GCUUGUCUCAAAGAUUAAGCCAUGCAUGUCUAAGUAUAAACUAAUUUAUACGGUGAAACUGCGAAUGGCUCAUUAAAUCAGUUAUAGUUUAUUUGAUGGUUGAUUACUACGUGGAUAACCGUGGUAAUUCUAGAGCUAAUACAUGCCUACAAGCCCGACUUCUGGAAGGGUGGUAUUUAUUAGAUAAAAAUCAACUUUGUUGGUGAAUCAUAAUAACUUCUCGGACCGCAUGGCCUCGUGCUGGCGGUGCUUCAUUCAAAUAUCUGCCCUAUCAACUGUCGAUGGUAGGAUAGAGGCCUACCAUGGUUGCAACGGGUAACGGGGAAUAAGGGUUCGAUUCCGGAGAGGGAGCCUGAGAAACGGCUACCACAUCCAAGGAAGGCAGCAGG
rnacentral:rRNA from 1 species